AGUCCUGCUAUCGGGGUUCGAUUAGCCAUGCGAGUCGAGAGGGUUCGGCCCUCGGCAUACUGCUCAGUAACACGUGGAUAACCUGCCCUAAGGUGGAGCAUAACCCCGGGAAACUGGGGAUAAUACUCCAUAGGCUACCGAGGCUGGAAUGCGCGGUAACCGAAAGUUCCGGCGCCUUAGGAUGGAUCUGCGGCCGAUUAGGUUGUUGUUGGGGUAAUGGCCCAACAAGCCCGUAAUCGGUACGGGUUGUGGGAGCAAGAGCCCGGAGAUGGACUCUGAGACACGAGUCCAGGCCCUACGGGGCGCAGCAGGCGCGAAAACUUUACAAUGCGGGAAACCGUGAUAAGGGAACCCCGAGUGCCCGUACACGCGGGCUGUUAAGGUGUUUAAAACGCAUCUCGAGAAAGGGCCGGGCAAGACCGGUGCCAGCCGCCGCGGUAAUACCGGCGGCUCGAGUGGUGACCACUAUUAUUGGGCUUAAAGCGUCCGUAGCUGGACUGUUAAGUCCCUUGGGAAAUCCGCCGGCUUAACCGGUGGGCGUCUAAGGGAUACUGGCGGUCUAGGGACCGGAAGAGGUGAGAGGUACUCCGGGGGUAGGAGUGAAAUCCUGUAAUCCUCGGGGGACCACCUGUGGCGAAGGCGUCUCACCAGGACGGCUCCGACAGUGAGGGACGAAAGCUGGGGGAGCAAACCGGAUUAGAUACCCGGGUAGUCCCAGCCGUAAACGAUGCGCGUUAGGUGUAUCGGUGACCACGAGUUACCGAGGUGCCGAAAGG
rnacentral:rRNA from 1 species